AGUGAACGCUGGCGGCGUGCUUAACACAUGCAAGUCGAACGAGAACGGAAUAUAGCUUGCUAUAUUUGUCAGCUAAGUGGCGCACGGGUGAGUAAUGUAUAGAUAACCUGCCCUUAAGAAAGGAAUAACAGUUGGAAACGACUGCUAAUGCCCUAUAUGCCUUUAAUACAUAAGUAUGCAAGGGAAACGCUUUAGUGCUUAAGGAUGGGUCUGUAUGGUAUCAGCUUGUUGGUGAGGUAAUGGCUCACCAAGGCUAUGACGCCUAACUGGUUUGAGAGGAUGAUCAGUCACACUGGAACUGAGACACGGUCCAGACUCCUACGGGAGGCAGCAGUGGGGAAUAUUGCACAAUGGACGAAGGUCUGAUGCAGCAACGCCGCGUGGAGGAUGACACAUUUCGGUGCGUAAACUCCUUUUAUAUAGGAAGAUAAUGACGGUACUAUAUGAAUAAGCACCGGCUAACUCUGUGCCAGCAGCCGCCGUAA
rnacentral:rRNA from 1 species